AUUGAACGCUGGCGGCAUGCUUUACACAUGCAAGUCGAACGGUAACAGGUUAAGCUGACGAGUGGCGAACGGGUGAGUAAUGCAUCGGAACGUGCCGGUCGUGGGGGAUAACGCAGCGAAAGCUGCGCUAAUACCGCAUACGAUCUGAGGAUGAAAGCGGGGGACCGUAAGGCCUCGCGCGAUCGGAGCGGCCGAUGUCAGAUUAGGUAGUUGGUGGGGUAAAGGCUCACCAAGCCGACGAUCUGUAGCUGGUCUGAGAGGACGACCAGCCACACUGGGACUGAGGCACGGCCCAGACUCCUACGGGAGGCAGCAGUGGGGAAUUUUGGACAAUGGGCGCAAGCCUGAUCCAGCAAUGCCGCGUGCAGGAAGAAGGCCUUCGGGUUGUAAACUGCUUUUGUACGGAGCGAAAAGGUCUUCCCUAAUACGGGAGGCUGAUGACGGUACCGUAAGAAUAAGCACCGGCUAACUACGUGCCAGCCGCCGCGGUAAGAC
rnacentral:rRNA from 1 species